rnacentral:misc_RNA from 1 species
AACUUUCAGCAACGGAUCUCUUGGUUCUCGCAUCGAUGAAGAACGCAGCGAAUUGCGAUAAGUAAUGUGAAUAGCAGAAUUCAGUGAAUCAUCGAAUCUUUGAACGCAUCUUGCGCUCUUUGGUAUUCCGAAGAGCAUGCCUGUUUGAGUGGCAUGAAACUCUCAACUACAAUCUUUCUUAAUUGAUGGGUUUGUAGCUUGGAUGUGAGUGCUGCUGGUGUCCUUAGUUACAUUGGCUCACUUGAAAUUCAUUAGCUGAAUCCUCUUGCAUUGGUUCUACUCGACGUGAUAAGAUCUCCGUCGAGGACAGUGAUUCGUAAGAAUGGCUGGCCAGUAAUAGAGUUGAUACGCUUCUAAUUGGCGCAGACUUCGAGUGCUGGCAAUGAUUGACAACUUGGCCUCAAAUCAGGUAGGACUACCCACUGAACUUAAGCAUAUCAAUAAGCGGAGGC